rnacentral:ncRNA from 2 species
GUGAUUUCUAGAGAAGAACUGGCAGUGCAAUACGUUUUUCUUCGCACUGAUGUGUGUUUAAACCUCAAUGCGUUGAAUAACGUUUUACAGUGUGCGUUUCUGAGCAUCGCC